rnacentral:rRNA from 1 species
CCUACGGGUGACAGCAGUGAGGAAUAUUAGUCAAUGGACGCGAGCCUGAACCAGCCAAGUAGCGUGAAGGAUGACUGCCCUACGGGUUGUAAACUUCUUUUAUAAGGGAAUAAAGUGAGGCACGUGUGCCUUUUUGUAUGUACUUUAUGAAUAAGGAUCGGCUAACUCCGUGCCAGCAGCCGCGGUAAUACGGAGGAUCCGAGCGUUAUCCGGAUUUAUUGGGUUUAAAGGGAGCGUAGAUGGGUUGUUAAGUCAGUUGUGAAAGUUUGCGGCUCAACCGUAAAAUUGCAAUUGAAACUGGCAGUCUUGAGUACAGUUGAGGUAGGCGGAAUUCGUGGUGUAGCGGUGAAAUGCUUAGAUAUCACGAAGAACUCCGAUUGCGAAGGCAGCCUACUAAACUGCCACUGACACUGAGGCUCGAAAGUGUGGGUAUCAAACAGGAUUAGAUACCCGUGUAGUC